UCACUGGUAAGCUGGUCACCUGGAAGCAACACAUCAGUUAGCCACUGAAAAGGGGUAAUAUUUAUUGACAUACUUUGGAAAAGACUGGAUGAGUUGAUAUGCAACUUCCCACUCUAACAUAUGUUUCUGUGAGUUUCUACAACUUCAGCUAAAUGUUUUAAGGAAGAAAAGAACAACAGGAUAUGUUAUAAUUUUGAUUGAUUGAUGCUCCCUCCUAUAGCAGCAUACAAAUUUUAGAGUGGGAGAAAAAUCUAUUAUGAUUUCAAUGAAAUGAGCUAUUUUUAAGUAUAGCUUAAUAUCUUGUCCCUAUGUGGUACCAUCAACAUUUUAGACAGAUGAACACCAAACUAUUGACUGAAUUGCUGCAUAGUGGAUUUGAUUUGAUUAUAAAGACAGUUAAAUGACCAGGGUACCUCUGGCAAUUUUGGCAAUCAAUAAGUAACAUGAAUCAACUAUGUAGUGGUCAGACUGGCUACCCAGUGAUCAAUCAAAACAGGAAAUAACUGAGAUAAGUUAAUCCUUAGGUUACAGGACUAUACCAUGAUAUCAGCAUAAAACUCAAAUGGACAUUCAUGAUGAAAAAAUGUUAAUGCUAUCAUUAUAAAAUAAACUGACAAAAGUAUU
rnacentral:antisense_RNA from 1 species